rnacentral:misc_RNA from 1 species
AUUAAGAACUCGUGCACACACGCACAUACACAGUUAUUUGACCACCACAACAUGUUUCAUUGUGCUUAAUAUAUAUGCUAAUGACAUGGUUAAGUCCUUGACAUCUCUAAAAGUUCUAAGCUGCUAAAUCUCCAACGUUAGAUCAAUAUUUAAUUCUAGAAUGCUUAAACAGAAACAACACUUACGCAAGGCUAGAAAAGGGGAAUUCCAGCAAAAAACAUUGCUGACAGCAGCAUGAUCGUUAAUCUAUGACUUAUCUAUAAAAGCAUAUCUAUUUAACAAAGCUAACCCAACGUAUUCUACUGCCACUCCCAAAUAACAUAAAAUUCCAUCUAGAAACAAUAGUUAAAAAACUAACCUACAACCACUGUAGACUAAGACUAUAACUGUUUGACAUAACCAUGCUAGCCACAACCUAGGAAUUAUGUCAAAAGAUGACAACAAUUGUCAAAAGAUGACAACAAUUACACAAUCAAUGGCUUACUCUCUCUGAAUGUGGCGCUCACGCAUCAAAGAAAGCAGCAACAAAAGGCAUAUGUAGCAGUUACGAUAGACCAUAAGAGUUUAAACUCUUCGCCGCUUUUUUCCACUCUUCACCUCACUUCCCUGUCCUUUGGUUGAGCUUAGAGAUUUCCCUUUCACGCUUUCUUGUGGUUUUCCAGAAUCUGUUGGGUUCUCCUUAUUAUCGUCGACUUCUUUCACCUUUGAUGAACCAGAUUUCAACUUUCCAGUACCAUUAACACUAGAUUUGCCACCACUCUUUGGGGAUUUACCCUUGGCAUUAGAGCUAAUCUUUGGGGUAUCUUGCUUGGAUUUGCCAGACUUCACGGUUUCUUGCUUGGACUUGGAGGUUUUGGGUGUCCUCAUCUCUUCCUCUUUGGACUUUCCAGUCUUGGAUGGCGUGAUGUCAUCAUUCUUUGAUUUGCUGCCUGUUUUUGAAGUAACAUCAGCAGAUUUACUUCCACUUUUAAUUAUGGCAGCAUUAUCAUCCUCGGCUUUUUUAACAGUUUUUGAAUCAUCCAUUGAUUUGCCAUCCAUUUUAUCCACUUCCUUUGAUUUUCGUCCAGACUUCGUUGCUGCACUCUUGGAUUUUCUGGAGGAAACUCCACCACCCCUACCAAUUGAAUAUACACAGCUGUCAGAAAUCCGAAUCUAAAAACAACACAAUAAAAGAAAUACUCACCUCAAUGGAGAAGCAUCCACCUUUCCUUGUUUCGUUGACUGAUCAGUAUUUGUUUUUGUUUUCUUCUUCGGAGGCCUGGUUAGAAUCAUCAGUCAAGUAAAUGCUAAUUGUACUUUAAGAUCAAACCAAAGCAGGAAGCCAGACAAGUGAUGGCUCAGCCUUGAGGACAUAGAUUAAAUGUGAUAUAAUAUAGGGAUACCACUAACACAAGAACCAACUAGAAACUCUCUAAACUAUGUACUUCCUCCAAGUCACAUGACCAAGUGGUUGGGAAAAUAAAAUCCCAAAUCAAAAGAUAGCAUUAUCAACUAAAAGGCUAAUUUAAACAAUAAAAACAUACAUUUCAGAAGGAACAUCCGAAGUUUCGGGAUCAGAUGCUUCUCCCUGUCAGAAAAUAAAAAUGUCUGUUAAAUCAAUCUUGAAAAUUCGGUAGUGCACUAGUCAGGUAGGUAGCCACUUACCUCAUUUGGUGCAGACUCCUCUCCAACAAUUUCCCACUUUUGCCUCUUAAGAUUCAACACUUCUGUAUCCCCAUCAUCAUAGGCAACCUACAUAAUGAAUAUAUAGUCAGUUGUACACACAUAUAUAAGUGUGCACUUAUAUUGACUCCAUUAUGGAGAUGUGCGUCAUGCAUGCAUACACAAAUGAAAGUAGGUAUUGUUUGUAUAUACUUAAAUAAGUACGCAUGAAAUUAACUAUAGAUAAAUAUGCAUGUGCAUAUCAUAUGAAACAGAAAUAAUUCUUUGAGAAAGAAGAAAACGAAAAUAAAGCAGGAAUAAAGUAAAACUCAGUUAAGAACAAAAUGGAGAUAGGAAUCUGAUAUUGAUGUCUUCACCUCAUGCUUCUUUUUAACAGGAUCAUAAGAACGUAUUACACCUUCAUAAAAUGUUUGAUCUAUAGGCCACCAAACUUUAACCCUCAAAUCAACCAGACUAGCGUUGUAUUCUCUAGUCCUAGAUGCCUUUUCAUUGCCUGAGGCACGCUUCCUCUUGCUGUUGACAUUGGGGGUCUCCUCCAAUUGAUGCUCAUCUUUUGGUAAUUUUGUUGCUGACUUUGGUGAAGAUACCUUUUCCAUGUUAUCAUCUUUGGUUGAACUUUUGAUCACAAUCUUUUCUGUAAUGGAUUUUCCACGACUGUGAUGUUUCUUAUCCUGAGACUGAAUUAAAGAGGAUUCAUCACCAUUGUUACUGCUUGCAUCCACCUUCUUUGAAGACUGCUUCAGUGGUUUUGCCUCUGAUUCACUUGUAGUGCGGCUUUCCUUCUUGGAUGCAUCUGUUGCCAUUGGUGCCUUUUCCUCAUUGGAAACCCUAGCAUGUGCCCUUCUUGCUGAUCGCUUAUUUAGUUUUGCUUCUGAAUCACUAGCUCCUUCAGAUGCCUUUCUGGGAACAUCAUCAGCAGAUGGUUCAGACUCUUUGAUCAAGCUCUCUUUCUUCUUUGAUCUCCCAGCCUUCUUGGAAAGACUUUCAUCAAGGAGGCUUCCGCUUCCAGAUGGAGAAGCAGCAGUCAUGGACUCGCCCUCUAAUGCCUUGGGGGAGGAAGGCUGACUACUACCAGCUUCUUUUCUAUUUUCUGAAGACACAGCUGCCUCAACAGAUGGUUCCUCGUGCGGUGAACCAGGAACAUUCUUGCCAUGAGUUUUAUCAUCCAGUAGUUUCUCAGCUUCCCUCUCAGCAACAAUAUGAGAACUCUCAGAUGGUUCUGUCAACUUUGUUGACGAAUUAAGUUUCCUCCCUCUCUUUUUGGUUGCCUGUGCUGGCUUGCUUUCCUCAUUAACUGCCUUCUCAGUCUCAGUAUUGUUUGACAUGUCAAUACUUUUUGACUUAUCAGCAUGAUUACCAUCAUCUUGCUUCUUUAAGGAACACGAAUCUGCCAAGGAGUCAUCUUCACCAGUCUGUGCAAUACCAUUGCUCACAAUUGAUUUGGGAGAUUUGUCAUUUAUAGGAUCAGCUUGUUUAGGAGAACAAGCUUCAGCUGUUAUCUCUUUAUCAGCCUGCGCAGCCUCAUCCAAUGAUUCUCCAGCCGGUUUGCUUUCUUCAACUUUAUUUUCAUCAGCAGUAUGGGCAUCAUUUUGCUCAACAGUAACAGAUGUCUCUUGGCAUAUAGAGGCAACUAUUUCACUGUAAUCAUCUAAAGAAAUACCCAAAGAUUUCACAGCAUGUUGCAAGUAAGGCUUAACUUUGGUAGCACAACUUUCAAGUACUUUUUCUCCCAACUUACAUGCGACAGAUAGAACUUCCUCAUUGCCCCUUUUCACACUGGCUAAAAGAGGAGAAAGAAGUUCUAGCGAGAUGUCUUCACUUUCUUCUAAGACAAGGGUCAUAAUGGUCUCCAUGGAUGAAAAAAUAUUCUCUGAGUGAUCAUCCCUUAUAGCAUUAAGGAAAUGCUGGAACAUCUCAAUUAUCAGAGCAUCACACUCAAGAUCCAACAUCACCACACAUGACCGAACUUUUGCAACAGUUUCAAGAAUCAAAGUCCUUUUACCAUACGAUCGACUAGACUUGUCAGCUAGAUUUUCAAAUGAUGAUACAAUCAGCUGAAAAACAUCCUUCAUCUGAUCAUCAUCAUAAGGAGCAUCUGGAGCGGUUAUUCUGGUUAUUUCACUAAUGCAAGAGGCAACCGCUACUUUCACAUCAACAUCAGCAUGCCUAAAAAGUUGCUCUGCUACCAGUGCUUUCAGAGAUGGGGUAAGUGCACUUUGCAUUGAUUUUGUAGGGGACUGCUCCACUUUUGAUAAACAAUUCUCGACUUGCUAAAGAAGAAGAAGAAGUUCAUCGACCGAAGAAGUUAACAAGUUUAGUCCCAACUUCCAUAAGUUGUUGUUUGAGCUUUUCAUCCAACUACGUCAUUGUUUAUGGCAUUUCUGUAUAAAUAAAUAAAGAUACAACAAUAGCAGCAGUAGCAGCAGCAACUACGCCUUAAUCCCAAACUAGUUAAGGCUGGCUAAAUAAAUAAAUAAAGAUAAAAUAACUUAUAUCUAUAGAUCCUUGGAAAUUUGAGACAGGCUAGAAUCUCAACCCAUUGAAACCCAAGGCACCCACUUCACUGAAAACACCAGUGCGGAUAGGCAUAGAACAGAUGCACACAGGCUCAGAGAAUCAGCAUUGUCUCACGUGGCCAAUUGAGGCAGAUCCUGACCAAGCUGGUCAGAUCUUACCAGCGAGAGAAGGGAAUUGCUUCGGGAAGGUCAUCCUCAAUUAAACUGGGUGACCGAAUUAUGUUCUACCAACCUGGAGGUCUUCUACAAUUAAAGCGAGGAACCGAAUUGUGUAUUACUGACCUUGUGGUUGCCCACCUUCAACUCAGUCGUUCUAUCUAAGAUUACCCAUCCUUCUAUCAAUUAGUACAACCUUUUGACCCCUACCUGCUAUCAGCUUGUCCCCAUUGCUUAUCUAUUGUUAGGCUUAUAUCAUCACCCCCUUUCUUGAAAACAAACUUGCCCUCAAGCGAGAAGUAAGUAAAAUCAAUCACGACACAUUGAAUAUUUUCCCAUGAAGCUUCAUCAGGUGACUUGCCCACUAAGCUCUUCUAACUCCAUGUUUGAAUUAGAUUCUCUCUUUGCUUGCUUAUCUACUUCAAUCUUGAGUAUUUAGAGAAAUAGACAAGAAGAAAGGAAGGAAAUUUUGUGGAAAAUUUGCUUGAUUAUUUCUCAAGCUAUGAUUGUACAUAUAUAUACACAAUUACAGUCUCCUAUUAGGGAAGGAAUACACAAUUUUACUAAUCAAGGGAUUCCUUGAUUAUAGGGAUUAAUCCCUUGAUUACAGGGAUUACAUCAAUCUAAUCUAUACGUUCUUAUUCUAAAAAAUUAAUCCCUUGAUUAUAGGGAUUUACAUUAAUCUAAUCUAUACAUUCCUAUUCUAACACUCCCCCUCAAGCUGGAGUGUACAUAUUAUAUGCUCCUAGCUCGUUACAAAUAUAUUCAAUUCUAGGUCUUCGGAGAGAUUUAGUAAGAAUGUUUGCUAAUUGGUCAUUUGAACUGACAAAACUAGUUAAAAUACGUCCAGACUUGAUCUUUUGUCUAAUAAAAUGGCAAUCCAUCUUUAUAUGCUUCCUCCUCUCAUGAAACAGAGGAUUAAAAGCAAUAUGUAGCUUGAUUGUCACAAAUAAGCUUCAUUAGUCCAUCAUCUCCACAUUUUAACUCCUGCAGAAGCUGCUUUAACCGUAUAAACUCGCAUGUAGCCAAAGCCAUAGCCCAAUACUCAACUUCUAUACUUAACCUGGCCACUACAUCUUGUUUCUUACUUUUCCAGGAUAUUAGAUUCCCUCCAAUUAGAAUGCAAUACCCUGAAGUUGAUCUUUAAUCUAAAGGAGAUCCUACCCAAUCUGCAUCAGAAUACCCUACAAUUUGUGUAUGGCCCUUGUCUUCAUAUAACAAGCCUUUUCUUGGGGCUCCUUUAAUGUGCCUGAGAAUCUGAAUUGUUGCGUUCACGUGACUAUCACAAGGAGCUUGUAGGAACUGGCUAACCACACUUACUGUGAAAGAGAUAUCUGGUCGAACGAUUGUGAGAUAAUUUAACUUUCCAACAAGUCUUCAAUACUGACCAGGAUCUUUAAGAGGCUCCCCCUGUCCAGGAACAAGCUUAAUAUUUUGGUCCAUGGGAGUAUCAAUAAGUUUACAGCCUAGCAUGCCAGUUUCGUUCAAUAUAUCCAAUGCAUGUUUUCUUUGUGAAACAGUAAUACCCUGCUAGAUUGAGCUAUCGAAUGUCUAGAAAAUAAUUCAGCUUUCCCAAAUCUUUGGUUUGGAAAUGACUGGUCAAGUGCUAUUUGAGUCGGGCAAUGCCUUCAUGAUCUUUGUCUAUUAUGGCAAUAUCAUCAACAUAAACCAUUAAAUAAAUACACUUGCCAUGAGAAUAAUGUCAACAGAAAACUAAAUGGUCUGCUUCACUUCGAUGCAUCCCAAAUUGUUGAACAACAGUACUAAAUUGACCAAACCAUGCUCUUGGGGAUUGUUUCAAGCCAUAAAGAGACCAGCAUAGUUGACAUACUAAUCCAGACUCCCCCUGAGCAACCAAUCCUGGUGGUUGCUUCAUAUAUACUUCUUCAGCAAGUUUGCCAUGUAAGAAGGUAUUUUUAAUGGUCAACUGAUGAUGAGCCCAAUGAAACAUAAUUGCCAUAAAGAUAAGAAGACGAAUAAAAGCAAUCUUCGUUACAGGAGAAAAAGUAUCACCAUA